UACGGAGGGUGCGAGCGUUGUCCGGAAUCACUGGGCGUAAAGGGCGCGUAGGUGGCGCGGGUAGUCAUCGGUGAAAGCUCAGGGCUCAACCCUGAGUCGGCCGGUGAUACUCCCGUGCUCGAGUGUGGUAGAGGCCAAUGGAAUUCCGGGUGUAGCGGUGGAAUGCGUAGAGAUCCGGAAGAACACCGGUGGCGAAGGCGGUUGGCUGGGCCACAACUGACACUGAUGCGCGACAGCGUGGGGAGCAAACAGG
rnacentral:rRNA from 1 species